rnacentral:RNase_P_RNA from 1 species
AAGGUGGGACGAUCUGCCGCGCCGCCGGUCCCUGAGCUUGUCGAAGGGCCGGCAGUGAGGAAAGUCCGCACAGGGCAGGGCGCCUGGCUGUGGAAAGCACAGAAGGGAGCAAUCUUUUCCGUCCGUAACAGAGAACAACCGCCCGCAAGGGCAAGGGUGAAAACGCGGGGUAAGAGCCCACGACGCCGUGCGGCGACGUACGGCGGGUACGGCGGCAGGCCUGCAAGACCAAAUAUACCGGCAGAUGAGGGCGGCCCGUCCGAUGCCGGGGGGUAGGU